rnacentral:lncRNA from 1 species
AAAAGUAUUAUCCAUGGUGAUGUCAAGCCUGGAAACAUCCUUCUUGAUGACAACCUCGUACCAAAAGUCUCCGACUUUGGGUCAGCCGAGCUUGUGCUGAAAAUCAAAAAUGAGAGAAGGACCGUGUCAGCAGACUUGAACUAUAUCGAUCCAACGUACACUAGCACCGGCUAUUUCUCGGAUAAGAGCGAUGUAUAUAGCUUCGGACUUGUGCUCCUAGAACUCAUCACCCGGAAGAAGUCCAUUUACGCGAAUAAUAAAAGCCUCCUAGUAGAGUUCAUCAAGUAUAAGAAAGACCAACAACAGUGGAGGGGGAUGUAUGAUCAGGAGUUGUUGUCUACCGAAGCCCUGGAGACUCACAGCAUUGCACGCAUCGACAGGUUUGCUGCCAUCGCCGUCCGGUGUCUCAAAAGGAUUGUGGAGAAGAGGCCGACCAUGGCGGAGGUGGUUGAAGAGCUU